AUUGAACGCUGGCGGCAUGCCUUACACAUGCAAGUCGAACGGUAGAGUAGCAAUACUUGAGAGUGGCGAACGGGUGAGUAAUGCAUCGGAACAUGCCCAGUCGUGGGGGAUAACGUAGCGAAAGUUACGCUAAUACCGCAUACGAUCUAUGGAUGAAAGCGGGGGACUCGCAAGAGCCUCGCGCGAUUGGAGUGGCCGAUGUCAGAUUAGGUAGUUGGUGGGGUAAAAGCCCACCAAGCCAACGAUCUGGAGCUGGUCUGGGAGGACGACCAGCCACACUGGGACUGAGACACGGCCCAGACUCCUACGGGAGGCAGCAGUGGGGAAUUUUGGACAAUGGACGAAAGUCUGAUCCAGCAAUGCCGCGUGCAGGACGAAGGCCUUCGGGUUGUAAACUGCUUUUGUACGGAGCGAAAAGCUUUGGAUUAAUACUCCGAGGUCAUGACGGUACCGUAAGAAUAAGCACCGGCUAACUACGUGCCAGCCGCCGCCGUAA
rnacentral:rRNA from 1 species